rnacentral:misc_RNA from 1 species
AACAACCUCACAACCUCUCUCGAGCGACUGAAACACACGCUCCAAAUGCACCUGCGCAGCUGCGUUAACGCUAUGGAGUGCCAAAGCUCCGCUUCGCACCACACUGCAUGAAACUACCCAUUACUCCCACUCGAUUCAAAACCGAAUAAAAUUUCUAUAAUUCCCCUUCGAUUUUUCUGUUCCUUUCUUCAAUUCGUAUUUUCCCAUGUAAUGCUUUAGCUGGAAGUUGUCACUUUUUCCUGAUUCGGUUAAAACGCCUGGGAAUUGUAUCCAUGGCGAAAGAGAAUCAUGCGGAGAUGGAAAAUGCUAGGCGCCCUUGUUUCUUCGAGAUUUUCUCCUCUAAUUUAACCUCGGAUCGACUGAGAAUACCUGCAGAAUUCACCAAACAUAUGGAAGGACGAAUAUCUGGAUCAGUUUCUUUAACUGGCCCUAGUGGGAACGUUUGGCCAGUUGACUUAACUCAGGAGAAGAAUGAUAUAUUCCUUGAUCAUGGAUGGCCAACUUUUGUGAAAGAUCAUCUUAUAGAAUGUGGUGACGUUUUAGUUUUCAGAUAUGAUGGAGAAUUGUCUUUUACAGUGCAAGUAUUUGAUAUAAGUUCUUGUGAGAAAGAAGCUGCAUUUCAUUCCAAAUGCAGUCUAGAUCCCAACCAGUAUUAUAGAAAUAGAAGUACCAGGCAGAAGAGAGAAAGAGAAGAAAAAGCUGCGUCUUUAGAUAAAAGUUGUGAAAAUGUGUCAAAAAAAGUUAGGGGUGACUCUUCUGAAUUGUAUUCAGAACACAUAAACAAAAACUUGGGGGCUGGGGUGGUAAGUAACAAGGAAGGAUGCCAGCAUGAGGAGCUAAUUACAACUACAAAAUUCCAAGAAGAGAGUUCCUCCCACGAACAAUGUCUUAGUCCAUGCCCGAUUUCUUUCAUCCCCUUUCAAUCAAAAGCUUGCUAUGUAAAGCCAGAGGCAGCCAUCCAGAAAAGAAUUGGCAAAGAAGGUGAAAAACAACCUGACAGAGGUUAUGGGUCAAUUUUGUCGGAACGUGAGAAAAGAGUUGCAGAGUCUUUUAUCUCUUGCUUUCCUUAUUUUGUGAGAAUCAUGAAAAGGUUCAACAUAAGUGGUUCUUACACUCUGAAUAUACCAUAUCAGUUUUCUACAGCUCAUCUUCCAAAUUGCAAAACAGAAAUUGUCCUUCGCACUGUCAAAGGAGCAUGUUGGACUGUGAAUUCCGUCCCAACAACAAGAGUUCACACAAGUCAUACUUUCUGCGGAGGAUGGAUGGCAUUUGUUCGCGGUAAUGACAUCAAAAUGGGAGAUGUUUGUAUUUUUGAACUUGUGCGCAAAUGUGAAUUGCGUGUCUUUAUUCUUCGAGUUGGAAAGGAAGUUCUGGAAAACCAAAGUGGAGAAGUGGCGUCUAAUGAGGUAAGUGUUGGUUGCACAGCCAUGUCUCAUGAAAGUGAAAGUUUUCCAAAGAAAUCCAGAAAAAAUGCUUUAAAGGUCCAUUCACGGCUCAUCACAAAGGUAGAAAUUUGUGAUAAGAAGGGAUCUAAUAAGAGUCAAGCAGCAGCAAUUUCCAAUCACACAAGGAAACGUAGCAAUGUAAAGAAGAGUUCUGCCAGUGCUCUGCUGUGCUUUCAGUCAAGAGCUAGCAAGGAAAAACUGGGUUAGUGAUCUGAUUUUGUUCCAGGUUCUUCAGUUAAGAAGUUGCUUCACAAUUUUAUGGGCCACCUUGCCUCUUAUUGUAUAAUUUUGUUAGUUUUCUUGUGUGCAGUCUUCAGAAAUAGUUUUCUAAAUUGUAGCAUAAAUUGGGUUGUUCUUAUAGCUCCUUGUUGUAACAUAAAUUGGGUUGUCAAGUGCAAACAGAGGUGGCCAUUAACAGUGGAAAGAAUUUAGAUGUGAGUUCUCAUGAUGGAGCUGGUGGGAGAAUGAUGUUAGCACUCAAUGAAGAGAAAGCAGCCAAGUCUUUUAACUCAGGUUUUCCUAAUUUUGUCAGAAUUAUGAGGAAGUUCAACACCAGUGGUUCGUAUACUCUGGUGAGUUGUUUCCUUUUAAUUUGUACCUUUGAUAAUCUUACUGACUUUUUUUUUUCAUAAAGGAUAUAUAAUCAUGUUAUAAUUAAUUGUGUGAUAAAUUCUAUGCAUGUACUAACAAUUUGAAAGAUCCCCCGAUGUGAGUAUUCGAUUUUGUAUCUGCUGCCCUUGCAAGUUCAUGUGUGCAUAUGCACUCACACACACAUAUAUGCUGGGAUUCUUUUAGUAAUUUUUUCACCAUUCUGAUAAUCCCCAAGGGUCUUCCUUUAAGCUUGUUAGGAUGUGGUUGCUGACUUGUUAUAUAGCAUGAAUUAUAGCUUAAUCUCAUUCAUCUUGAAAUUUCUUUGAUAAGCAUGCUGGGCCACUCAAGGGUUUCUGGAGUCAGUUCUCUGAGGAUAAACUCAUAUCAAUUGAUUGAGUUGCUUUAUCUUUAGAAAAUACUAUUCUUUUUUACUGACAAAUGACCGUUGUGCAGAAAAUCCCUCACCAGUUUUCUGCAGCACAUCUCCCCAACUGCAAAACAGAGGUAGUCCUUCGUAAUUCACAAGGAGAAUGCUGGACAGUGAAUUCAGUCCCAGACUCAAAAGGGCGAAGUGUACAUACAUUCUGUGGAGGAUGGAUGGCCUUUGUUCGUGAUAAUGAUAUCAAAAUGGGGGAUGUCUGCAUAUUUGAACUUGUUAGUAAGUGUGAGAUGCUAGUGCAUAUAUCUGGAGUUGGAGGAAAAGCACUCCAGCUCAUUCACGAGGCAUGUUGAACAGUUGAAGAAUUCAAUCAUCGCCAAACAAAUAUUUGGGUUGGGCUUCAUUUUCGUGUUCAGAAGAUCCAACAAGGUGAUAUUUACAUUUUUUGGGCAGAGGGGCAAGUUGAAGUGCUUUGUACGUGCACACUGAAGGAACGAAAUAUUGCUGAAGGAAGUGGAAACAUCUUAUCCGUUUUGUGUUUCAAUUCUAUGCUUCCUUGGUGAAAUAUUGUUCCCAACUAAUCCUUUUACCAAGAAGCAACCACCUUGAAUGUACAUGCAACGUAUCCUCAGUGCUUCUGUUCAUUUUAGCUUGUAAUUGUAGCCCAGCAUGCGCUGAAGAAAAACUGCAGUUGUCUAUAACUGUAAAAAUUGGGUAUUCGGACUUGGAAAUUAAACUUAAUUCUAUAAGCAAACGUGGCUGGUAAAUUUCUC